rnacentral:rRNA from 1 species
UGGGGAUAUUGCACAAUGGGCGAAAGCCUGAUGCAGCGACGCCGCGUGGGGGAUGAAGGCUUUCGGGUUGUAAACCUCUUUCGCUAUCGAACAAGGCCCGCUUAGGGUGGGUUGAGGGUAGGUGGAGAAGAAGCGCCGGCUAACUACGUGCCAGCAGCCGCGGUAAUACGUAGGGCGCGAGCGUUGUUCGGAAUUAUUGGGCGUAAAGGGCUUGUAGGCGGCUUGUUGCGCCUGCUGUGAAAACGCGGGGCUUAACUUCGCGCGUGCAGUGGGUACGGGCAGGCUUGAGUGUGGUAGGGGUGACUGGAAUUCCAGGUGUAGCGGUGGAAUGCGCAGAUAUCUGGAGGAACACCGAUGGCGAAGGCAGGUCACUGGGCCAUUACUGACGCUGAGGAGCGAAAGCAUGGGUAGCGAACAGG